UACGUAGGGGGCAAGCGUUGUCCGGAAUCAUUGGGCGUAAAGAGCGUGUAGGCGGCCUGGUAAGUCCGCUGUGAAAGUCCAGGGCUCAACCCUGGAAUGCCGGUGGAAACUGUCAGGCUCGAGUCCGGAAGAGGCGAGUGGAAUUCCUGGUGUAGCGGUGAAAUGCGCAGAUAUCGGGAGGAACACCUGUGGCGAAAGCGGCUCACUGGACCACAACUGACGCUGAUGCACGAAAGCUAGGGGAGCAAACAGG
rnacentral:rRNA from 1 species